rnacentral:rRNA from 1 species
CCUACGGGAGGCAGCAGUGAGGAAUAUUGGUCAAUGGACGAGAGUCUGAACCAGCCAAGUAGCGUGAAGGAUGACUGCCCUAUGGGUUGUAAACUUCUUUUAUAUGGGAAUAAAACGUUCCACGUGUGGGAUUUUGUAUGUACCAUAUGAAUAAGGAUCGGCUAACUCCGUGCCAGCAGCCGCGGUAAUACGGAGGAUCCGAGCGUUAUCCGGAUUUAUUGGGGUUAAAGGGAGCGUAGGUGGAUUGUUAAGUCAGUUGUGAAAGUUUGCGGCUCAACCGUAAAAUUGCAGUUGAAACUGGCAGUCUUGAGUACAGUAGAGGUAGGCGGAAUUCGUGGUGUAGCGGUGAAAUGCAUAGAUAUCACGAAGAACUCCGAUUGCGAAGGCAGUUCACUGGACUGCAACUGACACUGAGGCUCGAAAGUGUGGGUAUCAAACAGGAUUAGAUACCCUUGUAGUC